rnacentral:rRNA from 1 species
GAGUCGGACCUGCCCAGUGAAUAUAUUUUAACGGCCGCGGUACUCUGACCGUGCAAAGGUAGCAUAAUCAUUUGCCCUAUAAUUGAGGGCUAGUAUGAAUGGUUUGACGUGAACAAAGCUGUCUCUAUGUAAUUUUUUAGAAUUUGAUUUCUAGGUGAGGAAACCUAGAUUUAAUUGAAAGACAAGAAGACCCUAUUGAGCUUUAAAAAAAUAAAUUGAAAAUAAUAUAUAAUUUUAAAUAUUAAUCUAUUUUAGAUUUUGGUUGGGGCGACUAUGGAACAAAUAAAGCUUCUUUAUUAAUCAAUAAGACUUACAAGUGUUGAUCCAGAAAUUUUGAUCAAUGGAAUUAGUUACCAUAGGGAUAACAGCAUAAUUCUCUUUGAGAGUCCUUAUCGAAAAGAGAGUUUGUGACCUCGAUGUUGGACUAGAAUAUCCUAAAGAUGCAGCAGUCUUUAAGGGUUGGUC